UGCUGGCUGGCAGUGCACUGGAGGCGUCCGGGUGGCGGCGGCCUCGCAGACGGCGGAGUAGCGAGCCAUGGAGCACGUGACGGAGGGUUCCUGGGAGGCGCUGCCGGUGCCGCUGGACCCACGGGUGCUGGGCGCGCUGCGGGAGCUGGGCUUCCCGUACAUGACGCCGGUGCAGUCUGCAACCAUCCCUCUCUUCAUGAAAAACAAAGAUGUCGCCGCAGAAGCGGUCACAGGUAGUGGCAAAACACUCGCUUUUGUCAUUCCCAUUCUGGAAAUUCUCCUGAGAAGGGAAGAGAAGUUAAAAAAGAGUCAGGUUGGAGCCAUAAUCAUCACCCCCACUCGAGAGCUGGCCAUUCAAAUAGACGAGGUCCUGGCACAUUUCACGAAGCACUUCCCACAGUUCAGCCAGAUUCUUUGGAUCGGUGGCAGGAAUCCUGGGGAAGAUGUUGAGAGGUUUAAGCAACAAGGCGGGAACAUUGUUGUGGCCACGCCAGGCCGCUUGGAGGACAUGUUCCGAAGGAAGGCCGAAGGCUUGGAUCUGGCCAGCUGUGUGCGCUCCCUGGAUGUCCUGGUGUUGGAUGAAGCAGACAGACUUCUGGACAUGGGAUUUGAGGCAAGCAUAAACACCAUCCUGGAGUUUUUGCCAAAGCAGAGGCGAACGGGCCUUUUCUCUGCCACUCAGACGCAGGAGGUGGAGAACCUGGUGAGAGCAGGCCUCCGGAACCCCGUCCGGGUCUCGGUGAAGGAGAAGGGCGUGGCAGCCAGCAGCACCCAGAAGACCCCCUCCCGCCUGGAGAACUACUACAUGGUAUGCAAGGCAGAUGAGAAAUUUAAUCAGCUGGUACAUUUUCUUCGAAAUCAUAAGCAGGAAAAGCACCUGGUCUUCUUCAGCACCUGUGCCUGUGUGGAGUACUACGGGAAGGCUCUGGAGGCCCUGGUGAAGGGUGUGAAGAUUAUGUGCAUUCAUGGAAAGAUGAAAUAUAAGCGCAAUAAGAUCUUCAUGGAGUUCCGCAAAUUGCAGAGUGGGAUUUUAGUGUGCACUGAUGUGAUGGCCCGGGGGAUAGAUAUUCCUGAAGUAAACUGGGUUUUGCAGUACGACCCUCCCAGCAAUGCAAGUGCCUUCGUGCAUCGCUGUGGCCGCACAGCCCGCAUUGGCCACAGUGGCAGUGCCCUGGUGUUCCUCCUGCCCAUGGAAGAGUCAUACAUCAAUUUCCUUGCAAUUAACCAAAAAUGUCCCCUGCAGGAGAUGAAGCUCCAGAAGAGCACAGCUGACCUUCUGCCAAAGCUCAAGUCCAUGGCCCUGGCCGACAGAGCUGUGUUUGAAAAGGGCAUGAAAGCUUUUGUGUCGUAUGUCCAGGCUUAUGCAAAGCAUGAAUGCAACCUCAUUUUCAGAUUAAAGGACCUUGAUCUUGCCAGUCUCGCUCGAGGUUUUGCCCUGUUGAAGAUGCCUAAGAUGCCAGAACUGAGAGGAAAGCAGUUUCCAGACUUUGUGCCCGUGGAUGUUAAUACAGACACUAUUCCAUUUAAAGAUAAAAUUAGAGAAAAGCAGAGGCAGAAACUAUUGGAGCAACAAAGAAAAGAGAAAACAGAAAAUGAAGGGAGAAGAAAAUUCAUAAAAAAUAAAGCGUGGUCAAAGCAGAAGGCCAAAAAAGAAAAGAAGAAAAAAAUGAAUGAGAAAAGGAAAAGAGAAGAGGGUUCUGAUAUCGAAGAUGAGGACAUGGAGGAACUACUUAAUGACACAAGGCUCUUGAAAAGGUUUAAAAAAGGCAAAAUUACUGAAGAAGAAUUUGAGAAGGGAUUGUUGACAAGUGGCAAAAGAACAAUCAAGACGACAGAUUUAGGGAUCUCAGAUUUGGAAGAUGACGGCUGAUGCCAGCGCCACAGAUAAGCCCACCAGGGCACAGCUGGCCCCAGACUCAGCACGUGGCUCCCGUUUGCCUUUCCACACUGGGGAACCCUUCCACACUGGGGAAAUGAGAGAUCUCACACUCGAACAGUGACCUUGGUUUAAGAAGAGAAGCUGCCAGGGUGAGAAAAGCAGCUCAGUGUGCCACUGAGACAGCCCGGGUCUUCAAAGGAAGAGAGAGCACCGAUUAUCCUAAGUGCUGAUCCUGACUGGCCUUGGCAUCUUGCUCUUAAAAUGUACAAACACUUGGAUCCAUAAAACUAUGGACACAAACUGCCACUCUCCCCAGCGUCCUACAGCCCUGUCUUUUGUGUACACUAUCAAGACCUUACAAUGAGCUUGCUGACUUAGAGCAGCUGUUAAUUAAGAGGUGGGAUGCUGCCCAGUGCAGUUUUAUGAAUGGGACUCAAACCUUGAAUCUGAAAACGCUGCUCUGAGCCAACCCUGGGGCUGGGCAAGGGAAGGUAUGAUGCUCAGGGAAGAUGGGCACUUACCCAACAGCAGCAUCCAGCACCACAGUGACAGGGACAUUGAGAUGGCAGAGGGCAUUGGCCAUUUUCUUACUGAAGAUGACAUUUUGAGAACAUUAGAGAAAGUCCAAGAAAUUCCCAUAGUAAUAUAUGAUAAGUCACUUAAUUUGGACAGUGAUGAGUCAUGUUAACUUGAAACUCAGUUAAUAGAUUAAGGGGCAGAUUCCAAGACUCUGGACUAAGGAAACAAGAAUUUGGGUUUUUUUUUAAAAAAGUAUGUAUUUUGGAAAACUAUUCUCUUAGGGACUCUGGGUAAGAGGUAUAAAUUCAGGAAAAAGGAGAAAGGUUUUUCCCUUCUGGAGAGAUGGAGACAUGAAUUACCUAUUCCUUUUAUUUUAUUUUUUUUAAGUUUUAUUAUAUUUUUUAGAGACAAGGUCUUACUCUA